rnacentral:misc_RNA from 1 species
GAUGAAGAACGCAGCGAAAUGCGAUACGUAAUGUGAAUUGCAGAAUUCAGUGAAUCAUCGAAUCUUUGAACGCAUAUUGCGCUCUCUGGUAUUCCGGAGAGCAUGCUUGUUUGAGUAUCAGUAAACACCUCAACUUCCAUAUCUUUUUUGAAAUGGGUGUUGGACUUGAGUGAUCCCAACGCUUUUCCUCACCGAAAAGUGGCGGGUUACUUGAAAUGCAGGUGCAGCUGGACUUUUCUCUGAGCUAUAAGCAUAUCUAUUUAGUCUGCCUAAAAAACAGAUUAUUACCUUUGCUGCAGCUAACAUAAAGGAGAUUAGUUCUUGUGCUGACUGAUGCAGGAUUCACAAAGACGGCUUCGGCCGACUUUGUAAACUCGAUCUCAAAUCAAGUAAGACUACCCGCUGAACUUAAGCAUAUCAAUAAGCGGAGGA